rnacentral:rRNA from 1 species
GAUGAACGCUGGCGGCGUGCCUAAUACAUGCAAGUCGAACGCAUUGUGGUUGAAAUGAUAUGAAGAACUUGUUCAGAUUUGAUUUUCAACAUUGCAAUGAGUGGCGAACGGGUGAGUAACACGUGGGAAACCUACCUCUUAGCAGGGGAUAACAUUUGGAAACAAAUGCUAAUACCGUAUAAUAAUUAAAACCGCAUGGUUUUAGUUUAAAAGAUGGUCUUGCUAUCACUAAGAGAUGGUCCCGCGGUGUAUUAGUUAGUUGGUGAGGUAAUGGCUCACCAAGACAAUGAUACAUAGCCGAGUUGAGAGACUGACCGGCCACAAUGGGACUGAGACACGGCCCAUACUCCUACGGGAGGCAGCAGUAGGAAGUCUUCCACAAUGGACGAAAGUCUGAUGGAGCAACGCCGCGUGUGUGAUGAAGGGUUUCGGCUCGUAAAACACUGUUGUAAGAGAAGAAUGACAUUGAGAGUAACUGUUCAAUGUGUGACGGUA